CCAGCACCCCGAGUGGUCGGGACGAUUAUUGGGCCUAAAGCAUCCGUAGCCGGUUUUACAAGUCCUCCGUUAAAUCCAACUGCUUAACAGAUGGGCCGCGGAGGAUACUAUAAGACUAGGAGGCAGGAGAGGCAAGCGGUACUCAGUGGGUAGGGGUAAAAUCCGUUGAUCCAUUGAAGACCACCAGUGGCGAAGGCGGCUUGCCAGAAUGCGCUCGACGGUGAGGGAUGAAAGCUGGGGGAGCAAACCGGAUUAGAUGCCCGGGUAGUCCCAGCUGUAAACGAUGCAGACUCGGUGAUGGACUAGCUUUAUGCUAGUCCAGUGCCGCAGGGAAGCCGUUAAGUCUGCCGCCUGGGUAGUACGGUCGCAAGACUG
rnacentral:rRNA from 1 species